ensembl:lncRNA
CCCCCGUUCAAAUUUGCAUGAAAAAGGAGAAAGAAAACCUGUUUUUGCUAGUCUAGGCAAUACAGUGUGCCAGAAGCUAAUGAGACAUGAAUAAGGCCAGAAAUGCACAUCUUUUCACUUCUUUAAACUUUCUGUCUUUCAGCUGCUUCUGACUUUUCCUCAGAUAUCAGCACAACUUUACUGUGCUGACAAAGUCUAUGUGUGUUCAUACGGCUAGAAAACACCAAAAAUCCCUUGUUUCAUCCUUUUUUCCCCUUCCAAUCUAAAUGUAUGGCUCAAGGUGAGAAACUGAAUUGUCUAUUUUCACAGUACUAAAUGGCAUUAUAAAAAAGGGAAGUGAAACUCUUCAGACAGUAAACUCUAGCAGGGCUUUAUUCUUCUUGUUCUUCUGUUUUUCAGUAUUACUCUCAAUAAUAUUUUCUACAAGGGACAGUGAAACUUUAAGAAUUUGAUCCAGCACUGAGAUUAUUCCAACAUUAAGACAGCAUUUUUAUAGGCUAUUUGAGCCAUUCCCAAUGCAGGCUUCUCAGCUCUGCCCACUGCCAGACACAUUCUCUUUUCUAGGCAAUAGAUCAUGGAUUUAUCCCACCAAACAAGAAAAUUUGACUUAGAGAAGUCACAGCCUUGCUCACUGUAGAAAUAUGCAAAUACAAUACCAGUUGUGAGAUCAAUAUUCAUUAAAAAGAUUGUUUCAAAAUAAAGAAAAAUAUCCACCUAAAUUAGCUCAAAUUCCACCCUUAUAGAGAAGUCCAAUAACAUGUUCAUUUUAAAAUAGCCUACAUAAAUGAGAGACUUACAAAGGAAAACUGAUUCAAAGCCUUACUCACUUUUUUCCACUGAAAAUCUUCAAGAAGCUCUGCAUUUACUGUUUGAAGAGUAAGUCCAUUAAACAACCUCAAAUGCUUGGGUGCACAUACUUAUACAAAACUCUGAUAUGUUCAUCCAUUUUAUUACUUUUGACUUAUAUAGAAAAUCGAAGAGACUCCAAAGUAAUAAUAAAGAUGAAUUCCUUUCUCACCACUCGAAAGAAAUCCAAAGAGUAAUUCUAAAUUCUCCUUUGAACACACCUCGAACAAGGCCUGUAAUUUCUCCUGUUGCUCCGGAAGGAUAAAAUACAAUAUUUUACAACAUAAUACAAUUCAUUACAAAAUUAAUUAUACAUAUAUAUGUAAUCACUACUCUGAGAAAACAUGCUAUGAGAUUAUAGAAACUGAUCUGGCAGGUGAUCUUCAUGUAAGAGGUAAAGAAAAACAGCAUUUACUUAACUGAUAACUAAAGCUAACAGAAUAAGAAAAUCUGACUCAAUAUUGCUCACAACCAACAAGACAGGAAUAAUGGAUUGCUUAGACCCUUCGUUCUACCACUGAUGCCUCUUUGGAUCCUUAUGAGCAUCAUGUAAGAAUUUCACUGGUCAUCACUGAGAAGCUGCACAAGGUUUGAUGCUGACCCCUGUAUAACUCUGGUGCAAUUCACCACCAAUUAAUUUAGUAUCAUAUAAUCAUGUAAUCAUAGAAUCAUAGAAUGGCCUGGGUUGAAAAUGACCACAAUGAUCAUCGAGUUUUAACCCCCCUGCUAUGUGCAGCAUCACCAACCAGCAGACCAGGCUGCCCAGAGCCACAUCCAGCCUGGCCUUGAAUGCCUGCAGGGAUGGGGCAUCCACAACCUCCUUGAGCAACCUGUUCCAAUGUGUCACCACCCUCUGAGUAUCCAUUAUGAGAAUCCAACUGUUCAUAAACUACAUAGGUCGCUCUAGAAGUAAUGCAUAUAUUUCCAUGGAAGGUACAAUGCAUACAAAGAACAAAAUAACACUAUUGAAUAGAGUGAAUUCUCAGCUACAAAAAACAAUCAUCACCAUUAGCAGAAUGUGUGGAUGAGCUGAUUGAGACUGUCUUCAGUUCAUGGUCUGACAGCUGUGCAUGGCUGUCUAGAACAUGGUUUGUAUUUCAUGUCAUUAUCACCACUGCAGAAAUACAAAACCCACCCCUUGUUGUGCUCAAACCCACUGUUUGGUCUCCAUAAACAUUCGGUAAGCAUCAAUGAAUGUCAGUAGGUGCUGCUUUUUCUUCAAGGAAGAAUUCAAUUACACACCUUUGCUCCAUACCCAUUUCCAUGUCAGAUGCCGUACUUUCAGACUGUCUUUCUGCUGUUGUCUGUCACACAGAACAAAAUGUAGCAGGACAUUGGUGGGAAGACUCAGUAUCUACUGUCAUCCCACCGACAUCUGCCUCUGACGUCGUGGCCCAAGACAAUAAAAUAGAAGGCAUUACUUUUGGAGCAUCCUUUGCAGUAGAAAUGCAGGAUGUGCAGCCCACUCCCCUUCCCUGGCAAAGGGUAGAAGAUUUUUCUGCACUUUGGCCAUUCUUACUCUCAUCCAUCACAGCUACUGUCAGCAGGAUGCAACAUUUUCUUUAGAAUGGAAUUAAAAUCUGAAUUUUCAUGAUGAUCCCUUGAGCGAUGAGGUAAACUCAGACCAGAAGUGUCGCUUAUCCUAUUGGUAACCAGAGCUGCAGUUUGCAGUUUACUAUAACUGCAAAUGGUGGGUAUUAAGGAGGAUUAAAAUAAAUACUCGGAGUGUUCAGAGCCCCCUCAGCAUCAUGACCUGAUGAACGCUGUUUCUCUGUAGUUGAUUAAACACAGAUUGAACUGCUAGCUGUUCCGUGCUUCCAUUGGCUCACUCUUCUUCAGAUGCACUAAUCUUGGAAAAAGCUGCCCACACCCUAAACUUUAUACCCCACAAUUUUGGCUUUGAUUUCACUGGAAUUAGCACACGAGGGAAGGUACAAGUUAUAUUCUUUCCAUGGUCUCAUGAGUGAUAUUAUUAUUUCAAGGCCAGGCUGGAUAUGGCUCUGGGCAGCCUGGUCUGCUGGUUGGCAACCCUGCACAUAGCAGAGGGUUGGAACGAGAUGAGCAUUGUGGUCCUUUUCAACCCAGGCCAUUCUAUAAUUCUAUGAUUUUAUGAUAAGGAUCAGGCUUGAGUCCUCAUGAUCUUUGUCAGAUGAUGGAGCCUCAUCCUCACAUGACUGUCAGCAGCUCAUUUCUCUGUGCCUUACUCAACAACCCCCAGAUCCACUGCAAAUUCAGUAGGAAUGACCAAACCCAUAAGCAAAACCAAUUUAUCACUCCAACUUGCUCCUUCAUGAAAACGCCAACCAACCAGCCAACCUCGGAGCAGUCCCGGCCAACCCAAACGAUGCCAUGCAACUGCCGAAGCGGCGACAGCUCUUCGCAUUGUCUGCAAAGCGUGGCGGGGGUCUCUGCUGGAGCGGAGCGAUGGGAGUUUUCGUUGUAGCAACAUUGCCACCUAGUGCUGCCGUGAUGCAGUUCCGACACCGGGAAAUCCGACUCUUGAACAACCGAAGCAGCAGAACAGGUUGGUGUGACUUCCUCAUUCCGUAUUUUAGCCACGCUGCCACCUCUCUUCCCUCGGUAUUCUCACUUUUAGUGAGAAAGAGGGAAUAUGCCUCUCCUGAAAUAACGGGAAUAACUCAAAGCUCGCCGGCUGGCUUUCACAACGGAGCUUUCUCUACAGUAUUUCCAAGUAAUUUUUUGGAAGCUGGUUCCAAUUUUCAGGCUACUGUUGAGGAGCUGGUUUGAACACAACAAUGGAGGCCCCUAAUUCAAUGUUGGCUUUGAAUGGAGGCAGGCUGUGAUGGCGAUACGUCACAACGAACUGGGAGGUGAGGGAGGAGAUUCUUCAGACAAAAUAAUAUGGUUUUUUACUAUGUGUACCACACAAGAUCUCCAGAGCUGAUUGGGGAAUAGGACAUCAAACAUCCAAGGAUUAUCUUGACUUUAUAAUAAUGAAACAGCUAGUUAUACCUGGCAAUCUAUCUUGAAGGAAUGGAGGAAUAACUGCCAUGGUUACAACAUUGUUCAUGUUGGACAGAAUUGAUAAUCCAAGGAUUAUCUUGACUUUAUAAUAAUAAAACAGCUAUUUAUACCUGGCAAUCUAUCUUGAAGGAAUGGAGGAGUAACUGUCAUGGUUACAACAUUUUUCAUGUUGGACAGAAUUGACUAUCGGAGAACAGAUCUAUAAGGAAUUUUCCUGGACUCUGCUUAAAGAAAUUGAUUUAUCACACUAGACACUGUGUCAGAGCUAAACAACAUGCUGGCGUAAUAUUUACAUUUAGAGCC